ACACUCCUGCGGGAGGCAGCAGUGGGGAAUAUUGCACAAUGGGCGCAAGCCUGAUGCAGCCAUGCCGCGUGUAUGAAGAAGGCCUUCGGGUUGUAAAGUACUUUCAGCGGGGAGGAAGGCGAUAAGGUUAAUAACCUUGUCGAUUGACGUUACCCGCAGAAGAAGCACCGGCUAACUCCGUGCCAGCAGCCGCGGUAAUACGGAGGGUGCAAGCGUUAAUCGGAAUUACUGGGCGUAAAGCGCACGCAGGCGGUCUGUCAAGUCGGAUGUGAAAUCCCCAGGCUCAACCUGGGAACUGCAUUCGAAACUGGCAGGCUAGAGUCUUGUAGAGGGGGGUAGAAUUCCAGGUGUAGCGGUGAAAUGCGUAGAGAUCUGGAGGAAUACCGGUGGCGAAGGCGGCCCCCUGGACAAAGACUGACGCUCAGGUGCGAAAGCGUGGGGAGCAAACAGGAUUAGAUACCCUAGUAGUCCCA
rnacentral:rRNA from 1 species